GAUCCCGUAGCUCAGCAGGGAGAGCGCCACCUUGACAGGGUGGAGGUUGCUGGUUCGAGGCCAGUCGGGGUCA
rnacentral:tRNA from 1 species